GCCCUGAUAGCUCAGUGGUAGAGCACUUCCAUGGUAAGGAAGGGGUCGCGAGUUCAAUCCUCGCUCAGGGCUCCA
rnacentral:tRNA from 1 species